rnacentral:lncRNA from 1 species
CGAGCUCGUUGAUGGAGAGCGCACCAUAAACUCAUGGACAUCUUUAGGGAGUCCACGCAGGUACUCCAUCAUCCCGAGGUAUCAGGGCAUCCCAACCGCGGUUAGGAAAGAAGAAUAAACCUGAUGCCAUGAUAUAAUCAAGAAAAUUGGUGAGCUCGGAAUAAGUUCGCAAACCAUCAGUUUAUCGUGAAAUGAAAUUCAUAGAGUGAAAUUCAUAGAAUGAAAUUUAAUGGUUGAAUAAUGAGGGACCCCUUAGGGUUCUACUGGUGGUACACGCGGAGAUUUUCAGAGCUCCAGCUCCGCGGAAUGGGAGCCCCAUCUAGAGACUCCAAUUGAUAAGCUCCGGGUCGGCGAAUGCGCGUGACUCGGUAUGGUCCCUCCCAAUUCGGGGCCAGCUUCCCUCGCUCAGUUGGUCGGAAGGUUUCAG